rnacentral:tRNA from 1 species
GGGCGCUUGGUCUAGGGGUAUGAUUUCCCCUUCGCAUAACAUGUGAUUCAUCACAUAAUAUAACAUGGGGAAGGUCGUGGGUUCAAUUCCCACAGUGUCCA